AUGGACCCGUUGGCUUUUCUGACAGAUAAGCAGUUACUGCAGUUUUUACGCUGUAAUAGGACAGAGAUGUCGUGCAUGGUGCAACCACACACCUUUCUGAACCAGCUCCGUGACCACCACCUCAUUCCGGAGAACAUGUACAAGAAGCUGAUUUUGAUUAGGAGUAAGGAGCUGAGGGAGAAGGGUGUGUACCAGGUGUUGGACUGGGUGGAGGCAGAGAGGCCCGACAGCAUCAAGGUGUUCUGGAACUGUGUGUUCAGGGACCACCUCCUGCAGCAGUACCCAACGUUACGCCUGCUACGAAACCGCCUGCUGGAUGGGUCAUUCACAUUCUAUGAGAAACUGCCAGAGAAGGUGGAGAAGGAAGAGGAGGAGGAUAAGAAGAAGAAGGCUUCAGCGGAAGGAGAAGAGGAGGAGGAGAAGACAGGAAGGAAAAAGAGGAACCAGAAAAAGAGAAGUGCGAGUGCAGAGGAGGAGCAGCCCAGCACAUCCACCCAGUCCACCCCCAGUCAGAAGAGGAAAGUCCAGAGGCUCAAAUACUGUGAGUCCCCGGCUUAUGUUCCCUGGGGGAAAAGAGGAGGCCUUGAGUAGGAAAGUCUAAAGUACCUCUAACUUCAAACAGACAUUUUCUUGAGUAAAUAUUGACUCCUGAAUUCAUAGGGUAGGAAGUAGGUUUAUUUUUUUGGCAGGGUGAAAUAUACUGCUCAAAAAAAUAAAGGGAACACUAAAAUAACACAUCCUAGAUCUGAAUGAAUGAAAUAAUCUUAUUAAAUAUUUUUUUCUUUACAUAGUUGAAUGUGCUGACAACAAAAUCACACAAAAAUAAUCAAUGGAAAUCCAAUUUAUCAACCCAUGGAGGUCUGGAUUUGGAGUCACACUCAAAAUUAAAGUGGAAAACCACACUACAGGCUGAUCCAACUUUGAUGUAAUGUCCUUAAAACAAGUCAAAAUGAGGCUCAGUAGUGUGUGUGGCCUCCACGUGCCUGUAUGACCUCCCUACAACGCCUGGGCAUGCUCCUGAUGAGGUGGCGGAUGGUCUCCUGAGGGAUCUCCUCCCAGACCUGGACUAAAGCAUCCGCCAACUCCUGGACAGUCUGUGGUGCAACGUGGCGUUGGUGGAUGGAGCGAGACAUGAUGUCCCAGAUGUGCUCAUUUGGAUUCAGGUCUGGGGAACGGGCGGGCCAGUCCAUAGCAUCAAUGCCUUCCUCUUGCAGGAACUGCUGACACACUCCAGCCACAUGAGGUCUAGCAUUGUCUUGCAUUAGGAGGAACCCAGGGCCAACCGCACCAGCAUAUGGUCUCACAAGGGGUCUGAGGAUCUCAUCUCGGUACCUAAUGGCAGUCAGGCUACCUCUGUCGAGCACAUGGAGGGCUGUGCGGCCCCCCAAAGAAAUGCCACCCCACACCAUGACUGACCCACCGCCAAACCGGUCAUGCUGGAGGAUGUUGCAGGCAGCAGAACGUUUUCCACGGCGUCUCCAGACUCUGUCACGUCUGUCACGUGCUCAGUGUGAACCUGCUUUCAUCUGUGAAGAGCACAGGGCGCCAGUGGCGAAUUUGCCAAUCUUGGUGUUCUCUGUCAAAUGCCAAACGUCCUGCACGGUGUUGGGCUGUUAGCACAACCCCCACCUGUGGAAGUGUGAUUGACUUGGAGUUACAUUGUGUUGUUUAAGUGUUCCCUUUAUUUUUUUGAGCAGUGUAUAUUUAUUUUUUAUUUCAAGUCCAAUCUUAAUGACUGUCCCCAACGUGUCCCCAUGCAGGUUCUCCUUUCAGGAAGGGGGAGAAAGCUGACAUCUGGACCUGGCCCAUCUACAAGAGCCAGCUCCCAGUCACCUGUGGGGACAAAGAAGGCAUGCUCAACAGGGACAAGCUGGCCAAAGGUAGGUCAUAACAAGGACUUUUUAUAUGAUGUGUUUGUGUGUAAUGAUGGAUGUGGUUUGGCUGAAUAACCUUGGCUGAGACCUUAAAAGUGGCAAUCUGCAGUUGCUACAUACAUUUUUGGACUUAUACAUUUAUGAUAUGUACCAAUUGAUUCUUAAAGAAUAUAACUUAUUAUUACCUCAUGAGCUUAGUUCAACUGUUUUACCCCAUCAGAAC
rnacentral:lncRNA from 8 species